rnacentral:rRNA from 1 species
UACGAAGGGGCUAGCGUUGCUCGGAAUCACUGGGCGUAAAGGGUGCGUAGGCGGGUCUUUAAGUCAGGGUGAAAUCCUGGAGCUCAACUCCAGAACUGCCUUUGAUACUGAGGAUCUUGAGUUCGGAGAGGUGAGUGGAACUGCGAGUGUAGAGGUGAAAUUCGUAGAUAUUAGGAAGAACACCAGUGGCGAAGGCGGCUCACUGGCCCGGUACUGACGCUGAGGCGCGAAAGCGUGGGAGCAACAGG